ACUCAUAAAAAACUACUAUUGUAGCAGUUUAGAGAGGUUACUUGCGGUUUUCUGAGGAAGUGGUUUAUUCCACCUUUUUCUACACAUGAUCUCCACGUCUAUGGUUACAAACGGUUUUCACACUCCCUUCCGAAUCCCACUCCCACGUUCUGCCUCUAUACUUCUUUAUAUAUCACUCUGAUCCCAAUUGGAACUCUCACUCUAAUCAUAGAUAACCCUAACCAUCACCACUGACAAUCAUCGCACAACCACCACCGCAACGAAGGGAAUGGACCGGCAACCGUCACACCACCACUCCGAUGACGGCCGCACUAGCGGCGAACUUCCGGCACUCGAUUGUCACAUCACUUCUCUCUGCGAUCAUAUUCAGUCGGAAGGUUCUAAUCACGGAUUGUUAUCGAAUGAAUCGUGAUGGCUAUACUGUUUGUUGUAAGUGUUUCUAUAACCUGUAUGAUGGAAACGUUUUUGUUUUUUACAUUUCCGAAUCGUUUAGAGUUUCAAAGUGAAGUGAUCGAAUAUUGGUGGUAUAAGAAAUUAAGGAAGCACUUGAGUUGCUAGUAAGUUGUAGAAGUUCCUUUGUGUUUAUAAUUGUUAAAUUAACCAUAAUAUCUAAACUCAUACUUUUGACUUUCAAAAUGGUUUGGUGUCACAGGAGGAACUGGAAGAAGCAUGGGGACUGCAAGAUUAAAGUGACUUCAUUAUCUCCAAUGUAGAAAUUGCAAGAGAAAUGAUUAAAAGAUAGUCAAGGCAAUUCAAGACAAUGUGCUAUCCUUCUCCAUUUUUUGUUUUACAUUUUACUACAAUAAUCAUAAUCUAUAGAACCCCUAAAGGUAGCAAGGUAGGCGGGUCUAACAGAUUAACGGCUCAAAACAAGAUUGAGUUAAAAUGUGUCAUUUUUAAGUUUGGUUCAAAAGGACUAGCCUAUAAACACUCUUGUCCAUUUUCUAGAUUUGUUUUGUAAAUAACUGAUCCGUUAAUAAUGAUUACAAAAUGAAUGUAGAUUAUUUAAGAUGUUUUAUAAAUUUAAUUAGAAUCAUCAUUAACUACUAUACAAAACGCCUAAAGGCGAGAAGAUGAGUGAGUCAAAUGGAUUUUGGUUUGAAACAGGUCAUUUUUAGUCCAUGAGUGUGAGUGUGUUAUGUGUUGGAUCAUGGGGGAACAAAUUUUAGGGUUCUGCACGUGCAGUCAGGUGGGAAGUUUUGUAUUGAAUUUCAAGAGUUUGCUGAUGUGUCGAUCCCUACUCAAUUGAUGGUCUGGAAUUCUAGAAGUAAGCUUUUCUUUCUCUUGCUUGCUGGAUUCAGUAUAGUAUAGUCUAUGAAACUAUUUUUUGGACAUUAUUUUUCUUUUAUUUUUAUAUUUAGUGUGUUACUUAUGGUUAUGAAACUAUAAUUUAACAAUUGUUGAAUUCUAAAUCUUUAAAAUGUCGUAUGCAUUAGGCUUUUAGCAAAUUUCAACAUGUUUGACCAAUUCCAUUUUCAAUUAACACUUGCAUUGUGCUGGAUAUAAUUUGUCUUCUAAUAAAAGAUAAGGCAUUGUUAUACAUUGAGAAUUCUUUUUUUGUUUUUUUUUUUUUUUUUUGCACAGAAGCGAUGUAUAGUACAUUUAAAUAAUAAUCUAAUAUAUAAGUCAAGAGAGCAAAUGCCGGUUUGGGUCUGAGAUGAGUUGGAUAGAUAUGAAAGGAACACAUGGUCAUGAAGAUAAGGAUCAUAGGACAGUGGUUACUAAUGCAGGUUUUGCGAUGGCUAUGCAGAUCACCAAAAAAUGACAAAGAUACUACAAAAGAUAUAGUUGUUUUUUGCUCUUGUACAACUUGAAAUGCAUAUGGUACACAUUUCUAAAUCACAUUAAUGUUCAGCGA